UGCCUACGGGGGGCAGCAGUGAGGAAUAUUGGUCAAUGGGAGAGAUCCUGAACCAGCCAAGCCGCGUGAGGGAAGACGGCCUUAUGGGUUGUAAACCUCUUUUGUCGGAGAACAAAACCCGGGACGUGUCCCGGACUGCGUGUAUCCGAAGAAAAAGCAUCGGCUACUCCGUGCCAGCAGCCGCGGUAAUACGGAGGAUGCGAGCGUUAUCCGGAUUUAUUGGGUUUAAAGGGUGCGUAGGCGGUCCGUUAAGUCAGCGGUAAAAUUGCGGGGCUCAACCCUGUCGAGCCGUUGAAACUGGCAGA
rnacentral:rRNA from 1 species